rnacentral:ncRNA from 2 species
GAAAUCGUUCGCCCGACGGGUGCUCCCGAGCUUCGAUCGCGAAGGGGGAGAGAAUAGGGAAGCCGGUGAGAAUCCGGCGCGGGGCCGCCGCUGUGAUCGGCGAGGCCCCGGACGUUGCGCCACUGCCCGGAAUGGGGCGGGAAGGCCGUCCGGGACCGUCACGAGCCGAGAGCCAGAAGACCUGCCCGUCGGGAUCGAUUUUC